rnacentral:rRNA from 1 species
GACGAACUGUCCUAACGUUGUUCGGAAUCACUGGGCUUAAAGGGCGCGUAGGCGGUCGAUCAAGUCAGGGGUGAAAUCCUGCAGCUUAACUGUAGAAGUGCCUCUGAUACUGAUCGUCUGGAGGGAGAUAGGGGUGUGCGGAACUUCCAGUGGAGCGGUGAAAUGCGUAGAUAUCUGGAGGAACACCGGUGGCGAAGGCGGCAUCCUGGACCGAGAUUGACGCUGAGGCGCGAAAGCCAGGGGAGCAAACGGG